AUUGAACGCUGGCGGAAUGCUUUACACAUGCAAGUCGAGCGGCAGCGCGGGGGCAACCCUGGCGGCGAGCGGCGAACGGGUGAGUAAUGCGUCGGAACGUGCCGAGUAGUGGGGGAUAACGCAGCGAAAGUUGUGCUAAUACCGCAUACGUACUGAGGUAGAAAGUGGGGGACCUUCGGGCCUCACGCUAUUCGAGCGGCCGACGUCUGAUUAGCUAGUAGGUGAGGUAAAGGCUCACCUAGGCGACGAUCAGUAGCGGGUCUGAGAGGAUGAUCCGCCCCACUGGGACUGAGACACGGCCCAGACUCCUACGGGAGGCAGCAGUGGGGAAUAUUGGACAAUGGGCGAAAGCCUGAUCCAGCCAUGCCGCGUGUGUGAAGAAGGUCUUCGGAUUGUAAAGCACUUUAAGUUGGGAGGAAGGGUUGUAAGCUAAUAUCUUGCAGCUUUGACGUUACCAACAGAAUAAGCACCGGCUAACUCUGUGCCAGCAGCCGCGGUAAUAC
rnacentral:rRNA from 1 species